ensembl:lncRNA
GAAGUGAACAACACAGAGAGGGCCCCUUACAGGAUCCGUGAUGAAGACUGAAGCCCACUGGAAAGGUGAAGAGUAUCUCUGCAAUAAAGGCACACCAGACCACCAUACUUGAACGUUCAUGUGGUUCAAGUUACUUUUAAUUUAGCACCUCCUUGCUAAAUUGCACUGCCCAGGAAAGAAUUAAAGCAUUUGCAUCUUGAAGCAAGAAUCUUUUAAAACAAUUCUUUUGAAAUCGACCUUGGGGUUUGAGAAAGUAAAUUAUAUCCACCAAUAUGCUGUUCUUCAGAAAAGUUUCAAACAUUUUUAGUGAAACCUACAUCUAGAAAACUGACAACACCAAAAAAUAAUGACCAUAAUAAGGGAUCGAAGUGCCA